UAACAUGAGAGUUUGAUCCUGGCUCAGGAUGAACGCUGGCGGCGUGCUUAACACAUGCAAGUCGAACGAAGCGCUUUAAUUGAUUUCUUCGGAAUGAAGUUUUUGUGACUGAGUGGCGGACGGGUGAGUAACGCGUGGGUAACCUGCC
rnacentral:rRNA from 1 species